rnacentral:piRNA from 1 species
UGCUAAGGCAAGAUUGGGUGCACUCACC